AAAGUGGACUCUGCAGGGACACACUCUGAUCUAACCUGACCUGCUGCAAGAAGAUCUACAAACAUGCAUCUAUAUUAAACGAAGACUUCUGCUUUGAGGGCCUAACAGCUGUCACUUUCAUGCAUGUAACGUCAUGUGACUCCUCUGAGGACGACUGCAGGAUGGUACAACACACCAAGGUAAGAAAGAGAGACACUCCGGUCUGAACGGGAAAUAUUAACAUGUCCGGUCCUUCAUAAAAACUGAUGUUUUCUCUGCUUUCCCAUCUGCAGGCAGCCAUGUUGCAAGAUGUUGCACCACAGUGUUUGUUUUUAUUGAUUUGAAGACAGCUGGCUGAGCAAACUUAGAUUCUCCUACGAAAAAAGGUUCAAAAGUUUGACGUUCCUAAAGUAAACAGACUUAAACGAAGAGGGAUGAUGGUAAAUGAGAGAUACUGUAAAUUAAUUUAACUUACAGUAUCAGAGAAUAAAUCCAGCCCAUAUCAUCACAUAAGAUUUCUUUACUAAUGAAAACUGUUUAAUGAGCCGUCAGAGGAAGGGCCUGCUGCGACUAAAUGGGUGAAAAAAACGAUAUUAAUAAAAACUAAUUCUGUAUUUGAAUGUUUUUACGGUGCAGCAGUGACAGCGGAGUUUAUACUCAAGCUGUUUAAUCCUGUUUAACACAGCGUGUGUGUGGAAGUGUGUGUGUGUCAGUAAUGUAGUGUGAUGUUCUGACAGGAUAAACUGGGUUACUGUCGUGUUUCAGUCUCUUCAUGAAGCUUCACGAUAAUCACACUGAAAACUCAUCAACAUCCGCAAACACCCAGACUGUACACUCGUCUCAUCCUCUUCUUCCUCCUCCUCAAAAAUCCUCCUCCUCCUCUUCCCAAUCUACUUCGACUUAAUUGAGCGGCCUUCACUCCUCCCUCCAGAGCUUCAUGGAUAGAUGCGAUUCUUCUGACCUCUCUAAGCGCUUCUGCAUUUCAUGUCAGAUUCACACACUGAUGGUAACUAUGGAAACAAAAGGUUUAGAGUUUCAGGGACUUCAUGAGGCUCAUUAUUUUUGUUUGUUAAUGAAUAAGAGAGAUGCUCUGAUUUUUUACUCUCUGGGCUCGUUAGUGAUGGGCACGGCGGUUCUUUUAGAUGUACUGAAUCACUAGAAUCAGUUCACUAAAAAGAUUCGUUCACCAAAUCACCGAAUCACUUGACGCUUGGCAGGAGAGGCCUGCGACCCCUUCAGCUCAACUGAAGUGAGAAACAAACGAAUCACUCGAGGAAGUGAUUUGGUGCAGUAUGUUCACUUAAAAGAUUUGGUUCUUUUUAAUGAAUCAUUCACGAACGACACAACACUAGUGUCGAGUUUGUUUCUUAUCUGAAGAGUCCAUCUUUUCUCUGUUAUUAAGCUCCUCUGCAGCGUCCAAUCAGAGAGCGGUAUUCGAUCUAGGGUCAGUUUAAAGACCUCCAUGAUGGCUGCUCUGUUUCUCUCCUCUCUCUUCGAUCCUCUCUCCCUCUGUCUCUUUAACGUGGCGUGUUUGUUACUACUCCUACUAUAUCUGAGAGUUUAAGAAGCACCUACACUUUACUCUUCCUCUUCCUCUUCCUCUCCUUCGUCUUCUUCUUCCUCUCCUGUAAAAUCUGUUUCCUCGCGAGGAAAUCGAAAUUAAUCCGAACAUCUGUCUGAGGAAAACAAACACACCUGAGGGAAAAUCUCAACUUGAGAGAGAAGAGGCUGUUGUCGUCUGUUGUUGCCAUGGUUUCGGCAAUGACUCUACAGUCAGAUGACUGAACGCCUGUUUACCGUCUGUUUGUCUCCUCUCUGUCAUCUGUUUUUUUUUUUUUCUCUACAGCUCUUCAAAGUGUUCCAGAAAAUCAGCCGAGCCAAAACUGAAG